rnacentral:rRNA from 1 species
UUAAGCGACUAAGCGUACACGGUGGAUGCCCUGGCAGUCAGAGGCGAUGAAGGACGUGCUAAUCUGCGAAAAGCGUCGGUAAGGUGAUAUGAACCGUUAUAACCGGCGAUGUCCGAAUGGGGAAACCCAGUGCAAUUCGUUGCACUAUCGUUAACUGAAUACAUAGGUUAACGAGGCGAACCGGGGGAACUGAAACAUCUAAGUACCCCGAGGAAAAGAAAUCAACCGAGAUUCCCCCAGUAGCGGCGAGCGAACGGGGAGCAGCCCAGAGUCUGAAUCAGCUUGUGUGUUAGUGGAACGGUCUGGAAAGUCCGACGGUACAGGGUGAUAGUCCCGUACACCAAAAUGCACAGGCUGUGAACUCGAAGAGUAGGGCGGGACACGUGGUAUCCUGUCUGAAUAUGGGGGGACCAUCCUCCAAGGCUAAAUACUCCUGACUGACCGAUAGUGAACCAGUACCGUGAGGGAAAGGCGAAAAGAACCCCGGCGAGGGGAGUGAAAAAGAACCUGAAACCGUGUACGUACAAGCAGUGGGAGCACCUUCGGGUGUGACUGCGUACCUUUUGUAUAAUGGGUCAGCGACUUAUAUUCUGUAGCAAGGUUAACCGUAUAGGGGAGCCGCAGGGAAACCGAGUCUUAACUGGGCGUUAAGUUGCAGGGUAUAGACCCGAAACCCGGUGAUCUAGCCAUGGGCAGGUUGAAGGUUGGGUAACACUAACUGGAGGACCGAACCGACUAAUGUUGAAAAAUUAGCGGAUGACUUGUGGCUGGGGGUGAAAGGCCAAUCAAACCGGGAGAUAGCUGGUUCUCCCCGAAAGCUAUUUAGGUAGCGCCUCGUGAACUCAUCUUCGGGGGUAGAGCACUGUUUCGGCUAGGGGGUCAUCCCGACUUACCAACCCGAUGCAAACUACGAAUACCGAAGAAUGUUAUCACGGGAGACACACGGCGGGUGCUAACGUCCGUCGUGAAGAGGGAAACAACCCAGACCGCCAGCUAAGGUCCCAAAGUCAUGGUUAAGUGGGAAACGAUGUGGGAAGGCACAGACAGCCAGGAUGUUGGCUUAGAAGCAGCCAUCAUUUAAAGAAAGCGUAAUAGCUCACUGGUCGAGUCGGCCUGCGCGGAAGAUGUAACGGGGCUAAACCAUGCACCGAAGCUGCGGCAGCGACACUAUGUGUUGUUGGGUAGGGGAGCGUUCUGUAAGCCUGCGAAGGUGUGCUGUGAGGCAUGCUGGAGGUAUCAGAAGUGCGAAUGCUGACAUAAGUAACGAUAAAGCGGGUGAAAAGCCCGCUCGCCGGAAGACCAAGGGUUCCUGUCCAACGUUAAUCGGGGCAGGGUGAGUCGACCCCUAAGGCGAGGCCGAAAGGCGUAGUCGAUGGGAAACAGGUUAAUAUUCCUGUACUUGGUGUUACUGCGAAGGGGGGACGGAGAAGGCUAUGUUAGCCGGGCGACGGUUGUCCCGGUUUAAGCAUGUAGGCUGGUUAUCCAGGCAAAUCCGGAUAAUCAAGGCUGAGGUGUGAUGACGAGGCACUACGGUGCUGAAGUAACAAAUGCCCUGCUUCCAGGAAAAGCCUCUAAGCAUCAGGUAACAUCAAAUCGUACCCCAAACCGACACAGGUGGUCAGGUAGAGAAUACCAAGGCGCUUGAGAGAACUCGGGUGAAGGAACUAGGCAAAAUGGUGCCGUAACUUCGGGAGAAGGCACGCUGGUGUGUAGGUGAAGCCCCUGCGGGUGGAGCUGAGACCAGUCGAAGAUACCAGCUGGCUGCAACUGUUUAUUAAAAACACAGCACUGUGCAAACACGAAAGUGGACGUAUACGGUGUGACGCCUGCCCGGUGCCGGAAGGUUAAUUGAUGGGGUUAUCCGUAAGGAGAAGCUCUUGAUCGAAGCCCCGGUAAACGGCGGCCGUAACUAUAACGGUCCUAAGGUAGCGAAAUUCCUUGUCGGGUAAGUUCCGACCUGCACGAAUGGCGUAAUGAUGGCCAGGCUGUCUCCACCCGAGACUCAGUGAAAUUGAACUCGCUGUGAAGAUGCAGUGUACCCGCGGCAAGACGGAAAGACCCCGUGAACCUUUACUAUAGCUUGACACUGAACAUUGAGCCUUGAUGUGUAGGAUAGGUGGGAGGCUUUGAAGCGUGGACGCCAGUCUGCGUGGAGCCAACCUUGAAAUACCACCCUUUAAUGUUUGAUGUUCUAACGUUGGCCCCUUACCGGGGUUGCGGACAGUGUCUGGUGGGUAGUUUGACUGGGGCGGUCUCCUCCCAAAGCGUAACGGAGGAGCACGAAGGUUAGCUAAUCCUGGUCGGACAUCAGGAGGUUAGUGCAAUGGCAUAAGCUAGCUUGACUGCGAGCGUGACGGCGCGAGCAGGUGCGAAAGCAGGUCAUAGUGAUCCGGUGGUUCUGAAUGGAAGGGCCAUCGCUCAACGGAUAAAAGGUACUCCGGGGAUAACAGGCUGAUACCGCCCAAGAGUUCAUAUCGACGGCGGUGUUUGGCACCUCGAUGUCGGCUCAUCACAUCCUGGGGCUGAAGUAGGUCCCAAGGGUAUGGCUGUUCGCCAUUUAAAGUGGUACGCGAGCUGGGUUUAGAACGUCGUGAGACAGUUCGGUCCCUAUCUGCCGUGGGCGCUGGAGAAUUGAGGGGGGCUGCUCCUAGUACGAGAGGACCGGAGUGGACGCAUCACUGGUGUUCGGGUUGUCAUGCCAAUGGCACUGCCCGGUAGCUAAAUGCGGAAGAGAUAAGUGCUGAAAGCAUCUAAGCACGAAACUUGCCCCGAGAUGAGUUCUCCCUGAGACUUUAAGUCUCCUGAAGGAACGUUAAAGACGAUGACGUUGAUAGGCCGGGUGUGUAAGCGCAGCGAUGCGUUGAGCUAACCGGUACUAAUGAACCGUGAGGCUUAACCU